GAUGGUAGACACCGACACCUAACACAACGGACACACAACCCGUCAUCCGGCAGCCCUGAGCCACAUGGAGCGGCGGCCCGCGAGGAUUUAUUAACGAGUCACCACGAGGGAGGGCAGCGUCGCUCCGUGCUAUGAAAGACACACGUUUAAACCCAAAGAGCAGUCACGUCUUACCCAGCUGCGUUUUGCUCAGAUCCGGCUCAGGCGGUUUGAUUUUCUCCCGUGGUGUCUGUGUGGAGCGUACCACACACCCACUCCACAACAACGACGGCUUUUGCUUGCAUCUUCCAGUGUUUCUUCUGUCAGCAAGUCCAGCAGAGCUGCAACUCUUCCAGUGCCAAUCCUGACACCAGCGAGGAGCCCUGCCCCAUUGACAUGGUGAAGAUGACCAAGUCCAAGACCUUCCAGGCUUACCUGCCUACCUGCCACCGCACCUACAGCUGCAUUCACUGCCGGGCACACCUAGCCAAUCAUGAUGAGCUCAUCUCAAAGAGACACGCAUUGCUGCGUGCUUGACUGACAUCUCGGAGUGGAUGACGACACACAACCUGAAACUCAAUCUGGACAAGACAGAGCUGACGUUCCUCCCGGGGAAAGGUUGCCCACACCGAGACCUGACCAUCACCAUUGACAACACCGUGGUGACGCCAAAUCGGACUGUGAGGAAACUGGGUGUGAUCCUGGACGACCAACUGUCGUUUGCUGAAAACGUUGCAUCGGUUGCUCGCUCCUGCAGAUUUCUCCUCUAUAACAUCAGGAGGAUUCGCCCAUUCCUCACCGACGAGAUGGCACAGGUACUCAUCCAGGCUCUGGUCAUCUCCCAGCUGGACUAC